CAGAGUUCAUGCCCUUACGGGUAGAUCUCCCACCCUAUGUUAUUAUUACUUUGUUGCUUUGGCGGGCCGUUAGGCUCUUGGCCCGACUACCGGCUUAGGCUGGUAAGUGCCCGCCAGAGGACCCUAAACUCUGAAUAUUUUUGUCGUCUGAGUACUAUAUAAUAGUUA
rnacentral:misc_RNA from 1 species